UACAGAGGGUGCAAACGUUGUUCGGAAUUACUGGGCGUAAAGCGUGUGUAGGCGGUCUGUAAAGUCAGGUGUGAAAGCCCCGGGCUCAACCCGGGAAGUGCACUUGAAACUCACAGGCUAGAGUAUCGGAGAGGUUGGUGGAAUUCUCGGUGUAGAGGUGAAAUUCGUAGAUAUUCGGAAGAACACCAGUGGCGAAGGCGGCUCACUGGACUGGUAUUGACGCUGAGGUGCGAAAGCGUGGGGAGCAAACAGG
rnacentral:rRNA from 1 species